CCUACGGGUGGCAGCAGUGGGGAAUAUUGCACAAUGGGGGAAACCCUGAUGCAGCGACGCCGCGUGAGUGAAGAAGUAUUUCGGUACGUAAAGCUCUAUCAGCAGGGAAGAAAAUGACGGUACCUGACUAAGAAGCCCCGGCUAACUACGUGCCAGCAGCCGCGGUAAUACGUCGGGGGCAAGCGUUAUCCGGCUUUACUGGGUGUAAAGGGAGCGUAGACGGCAGCGCAAGUCUGGAGUGAAAUCCCAUGGCUUAACCAUGGAACUGCUUUGGAAACUGUGCAGCUAGAGUGCAGGAGAGGUGAGCGGAAUUCCUAGUGUAGCGGUGAAAUGCGUAGAUAUUAGGAGGAACACCAGUGGCGAAGGCGGCUUACUGGACUGUAACUGACGUUGAGGCUCGAAAGCGUGGGGAGCAAACAGGAUUAGAUACCCUGGUAGUC
rnacentral:rRNA from 1 species